UGAGUUGGUCGGGUGGCCGCGGCACGGGUGGAGGCGUGAACGAUCUAUUCGUGCGCGACUCCUCUACCGUGUCGAGGAAGGUCGGGGCUCCGCAGGGCAGGGUGCUGGUUAACUGCCAGUCGAGGUGACUCGCAGGAAAGUGCCACAGAGAAUAGACCGCCGAUGGCAUGCGCUUGUCGCAUGAUCAGGCAAGGGUGAAACGGUGCGGCAAGAGCGCACCAGCGACCAGGGUGACCUGGCGGCUAGGUAAACCCCACCCGGAGCAAGGCCAGACAGGAGAUACGGGUCGCCCGCCCGGCCUCAACGCAUUGCGACAAGCGUGCACAAGCUUUGAGGCAGUCUCCGGGUAGGCCGCUUAGAUGGAUGGCCACCUAUCCGCCGCCGGGAACGGCGGCGGUGGACAGAACCCCGCCUACAGACCAGCUCACCAU
rnacentral:RNase_P_RNA from 1 species